rnacentral:rRNA from 1 species
CCGGCGACCGGCGCACGGGUGAGUAACACGUAUGGAACCUGGCCCGCAGCAGGGGGAUAAGCGGAAGAAAUUCCGUCUAAUACCGCGUAACAACGUUGGGAGGCAUCUCCCGAUGUUUAAAGAUUUAUCGGCUGCGGAUGGCCAUGCGGCGCAUUAGCUAGUCGGCGGGGUAACGGGCCCACCGAGGCGACGAUGCGUAGGGGUUCUGAGAGGAAGGUCCCCCACACUGGUACUGAGACACGGACCAGACUCCUACGGGAGGCAGCAG